rnacentral:rRNA from 1 species
UACGUAGGUGACAAGCGUUGUCCGGAUUUACUGGGCGUAAAGAGCGCGCAGGCGGUCGAUCAAGUCGAGUGUGAAAGCCCCCGGCUCAACCGGGGAGGGUCAUUCGAUACUGAUCGACUCGAAGGCAGGAGAGGGUAGUGGAAUUCCCGGUGUAGUGGUGAAAUGCGUAGAUAUCGGGAGGAACACCAGUGGCGAAGGCGACUACCUGGCCUGUUCUUGACGCUGAGGCGCGAAAGCUAGGGGAGCAAACGGG